CAAGACAGUGAUAAUCUGUCUCUUUCCCUUUGUUUUUGUGUCUCAUACCCUUGCUUUCUCACUUGAUCUUUCCAAGUCUAUCAGAAUGAAGAGAAUCUCAGAAAUAAAAAGGAUUUUGGAUUUUUUCUUCCCAAGAAAGCUCCGUUUUGGCCAUCUCAUGCAUUUUUCUAGUCAAGAUCGCACAUGCAUUAAUCCCAAGUGGGCAAAGGAUAGAGGAAGAAGGAGAUAAAGUUGGAAGAGGUGAGAAAGGAUCAAGCCAUAGAGGACUGUGGGUGUUCUGCUGAGAAAUC
rnacentral:lncRNA from 1 species